CCCCAUCCCUCUUCCUUGUCGCCGCCCCAUCCAUCCUCCUCGUCGAUCGGCAUCUUGCUGCUUGGCCCUAAUCAAGAUGCCCUCUGGAAGGUUGGUCGCACAUACCUUGAUGGUAAGGGGCUCUUUCGAUUAUUCUCUCAGUAAUUGCCCCCACCGCGUCACCCGCCGUCGUGCCUUGCUGCACGCUCCUUUCCCAUCCGCAACAACCAACCUUGCAUCGAAAGGUGGAAAUGACGACAACAAUCUCCAAUCUACUGUCCCUCUAAUCUCUAAUCUGCUAGCAUCGACCUCCAAUCUGCUUCCCAUCUCUGUCCUCUUCCGAACAUAGUGGAAAUGGUGACGCUGGUGCUAGAGUGGGCUACCAAGGAGCCCUGCCUCAUGACCAUGGGGGUUGAUGAGGCAGGUCAUGGCCCUAUCCUUGAUAAACACUUGUCUUUCUUCUGACCGGUUAAUAUGCAAUAUUGCUUUUUUUGAGUUUUCUUACUACAUUGUAUGUAUAAAUGUUCAUUAUGUUUGAGGUCCUGGAGGUUUCAUGGGCUCAUUUCUCUAAUGAAAUGGAUGCUACAAAGGAUUUAGUAAAAUGGAUGCUACAACUCGAUACUAGAGAAGGCCCUGCUUGGUAAACGCUACCAUGCAAUUUUGAGAAAUCUCUUUGAAUUGUUUGACAUCAUCUUAUAGCUUUGGAGCCGUGUUGAUCGAUGGUUCAAACGAAUAUAUGAGUUGCAGCUAAGGUUAGAUUAUUGCAGAAUCAUAUAUUGUUAUUCCAUCUUUACUUUAAAAUCUUAUCUCAUAUAUAUUGUUUGAUUUACUCCAAAGUUUCAUUUUUACCGCAUGGGAAGGGGUCAACCAAAACCAAAAUCUAAGGAUACAGGUUCAUGGCUUGAUAGCGACAGAAAAUCUAUGCCCAAAAAUGUUGGUUCCGGUUUUCCCAUAGUAGUGAAUUCAUAUGAGAUGGCCCUGUAUGAUGCUAAAUUUCUUGCUGCCCAUAAGUGGAAGUAUGUUGUUGUUAAUGAGGUGAUGGAAAACAUAUUUUCUAAAUUAUCACCCAUUUGUUUUCUCCUUUUUUGUAUUUACAUGUCAGUUCCAUAUUUCUUUCUCUAGGGCAUCGGUCGAAAAAUUCUAAGUGUCUAUUAUUAAGGGAGCUGAAGCGCGUACCAAUGUAUAAUAAGCUUUUUUUACUUGGCACCCCUUCUGUAUAAUCUAGCGUAGCUCUGGUCACUAUUGAACUUCAUUUUGCCCAUUAUAUUCUCAUCAAAUCAAGAACAUGUCAUGAUAUAAUUCACACACGCUUUCCUAUUUGCCCCUUUCAGUAUUUUAUUCAUGUUAUUCAAUUCGUACUUGCAACUGAUUUAUGCCAACAUGACUAAACAUCGUAAACAAAUCCAACGUCACUUGGUUGAAAAAACAUUUGAUAAUUACUUGCAUGAGGAAUGAGAUAUUAGUAUGUUGUCAUAAUAAUGCUUACAUAUUUAUGUAGACUUGUAGUAAUCCAGUUGUUGGAGACUUGUUCUCAAAUGCUAUGAGUUAAG